rnacentral:rRNA from 1 species
UACGGGGGGAGCAAGCGUUGUUCGGAUUUACUGGGCGUAAAGGGCGCGUAGGCGGCCUGUGCAAGUCAGUUGUGAAAUCUCCGAGCUUAACUCGGAACGGUCAACUGAUACUGCUCGGCUAGAGUGCGGAAGGGGCAACUGGAAUUCUUGGUGUAGCGGUGAAAUGCGUAGAUAUCAAGAGGAACACCUGCGGCGAAGGCGGGUAGCUGGGCCAACACUGACGCUGAUGUGCGAAAGCUAGGGGAGCAAACGGG